GAUAAAGAAGUUUCACUUCAUGGCCAGCUUUCUGUAGUCCUUCAACAUAAGCCAAUUGCCAAUCUUGAACAAGAUCGAAACCAGCCACAACGACUAGACUUUUAGGGAAUUUGAGUUCGGCGAGGUUUCUCCCUCUUGGGCCAAAGAUAUUACAUGCUGGAUGAUCUCUAUCUUCCCCUUCGGGUAGAUAUGCUCUCCAAUACCAGUCACGAUCUUGAAUUGUAACAAAGUACUUGCUAUCUAAUCUCUUCUCUGAUUCAGUUCUCUUCUGCCCACCAAACAUUGGGUGCAGAAGGAUAUUACCCAAUACUUCAACAUCUGCUUCCGCUGCCCUCACUGCAACAUGGUGAGCUAUAUUUCCACCUGAACUAUCCCCAGCCAAAUAUACAUGAACCUUGGAAUCCUUCCCACUUUGAAGCCAAGUUCUUGACUUAACCCAUUUAAGAGCUGCCCAACCAUCAUCAUAUGCACAUGGGUACCGGUACUCAGGUGACCGCCGAUAAUUAACAGACACCACAACAGCCUUGCAAACGCUCACAAGGCGGCGACAGAAGGUGUCAUAGAUAGCACUAUUGGCAGAGGAGUGAGUGAAGCUUCCACCGUGGAAGAAGAUUAUAACUGGGACAAUCUCAGUGCUGCUCAAAGGCUUUUCAAGCUCUACAAUGCCCCAUUGAACCUCAUUUUCAGGGGCAGGUUGGUAAACCCGGUUAAGGAGGCCUGUGGUUCGAUCGA
rnacentral:misc_RNA from 1 species